rnacentral:rRNA from 1 species
UACGUAGGGUGCGAGCGUUGUCCGGAAUUAUUGGGCGUAAAGGGCGCGUAGGCGGAUAGUUUAGUCAGAGGUGAAAGCCCAGGGCUCAACCUUGGAACUGCCUUUGAUACUGGCUAUCUUGAGUUCGGGAGAGGUGAGUGGAAUGCCGAGUGUAGAGGUGAAAUUCGUAGAUAUUCGGCGGAACACCAGUGGCGAAGGCGACUCACUGGCCCGAUACUGACGCUGAGGCGCGAAAGCGUGGGGAGCAAACAGG